CCUACGGGUGGCAGCAGUGAGGAAUAUUGGUCAAUGGGCGCUAGCCUGAACCAGCCAAGCCGCGUGAAGGAUGACGGCCCUAUGGGUUGUAAACUUCUUUUGUAGGGGAAUAAAGUGUAGUAUGUAUACCUCUUUGCAUGUACCUUAUGAAUAAGCAUCGGCUAACUCCGUGCCAGCAGCCGCGGUAAUAAGGAGGAUCCGAGCGUUAUCCGGAUUUAUUGGGUUUAAAGGGAACGUAGGCGGGUUGUUAAGUCAGGUGUGAAAGUUUGGGGCUCAACCGUAGAAUUGCAGUUGAUACUGGCAGGCUUGAGUAGCGUAGAGGUAGGCGGAAUGCGUGGUGUAGCGGUGAAAUGCUUAGAUAUCACGAAGAACUCCGAUUGCGAAGGCAGCCUGCUGGACUGUAACUGACGCUGAGGCGCGAAAGCGUGGGUAUCAAACAGGAUUAGAUACCCGAGUAGUC
rnacentral:rRNA from 1 species